rnacentral:lncRNA from 1 species
AUUUCAUAAGCAAAAUAGGUCAAGGCAUGGUAUAUGGAAGCUCAUAGAAGUCAACAGCAAGACUUAAGUCAAAACCAAUCAUAAACAAUUCCAAAAAUCAUCAAAUAAAUCAUGGUCAAACAUAACGCAUAUCAUGGUAAGCAUGUCAAAUUUCAACUCAUUUGGACAAGUAGAAGUUGGUCAAUGAAAAUCAGAAAGGCAAGGCAAUUCCAAACAUGCUCAAAGAAGUCAACCAAAC